GAUGAACGCUGGCGGCGUGCCUAAUACAUGCAAGUCGAGCGAACGGACGAGAAGCUUGCUUCUCUGAUGUUAGCGGCGGACGGGUGAGUAACACGUGGAUAACCUACCUAUAAGACUGGGAUAACUUCGGGAAACCGGAGCUAAUACCGGAUGAUAUUUUGAACCGCAUGGUUCAAAAGUGAAAGACGGUCUUGCUGUCACUUAUAGAUGGAUCCGCGCUGCAUUAGCUAGUUGGUAAGGUAACGGCUUACCAAGGCAACGAUGCAUAGCCGACCUGAGAGGGUGAUCGGCCACACUGGAACUGAGACACGGUCCAGACUCCUACGGGAGGAAGCAGUAGGGAAUCUUCCGCAAUGGGCGAAAGCCUGCCGGAGCAACGCCGCGUGAGUGAUGAAGGUCUUCGGAUCGUAAAACUCUGUUAUUAGGGAAGAACAUAUGUGUAAGUAACUGUGCACAUCUUGACGGUACCUAAUCAGAAAGCCACGGCUAACUACGUG
rnacentral:rRNA from 1 species